UGGUAGCUGCGGCUCAUCAGCCGUGCCCUGCUUAAAUACUGGCGUCUCACAGAAGACCGACGCCAGAGGAUUGUGAUACCUGCCUCGUGUUCUCCUCCUCGGCUUCAGCACUUGGCACACCUCCAGGCACUCCAGCGUUUGGCACCCACGGGAAUUCACGACCACGGACACCUUCACCUCGAGACCCUUCACGAGAGCACCCACCCCCACGAGCACUGAACCCUGAGCACCGGACCCCUGCGCACCACCCUGGUUUCCCUCGUCACGGCUCCCUCUCUGCACCAGGAAAACCCCCACGGACCAAGGCACUCACAGGCACCGGCUUUUCGUGCACCACCCUCGGGACCUCCCUUCCUUGGAUCACGGCACCGAAGACUCCACUUCUCCCUCUCCACGACUGACAUCCCUGCACCAGAUCCCACCACCGGUUUUCCCCCCUCCAGUUAAAUAAAACCUUUUCACUAAA